rnacentral:rRNA from 1 species
CUGGCGGCGUGCCUAAUACAUAGCAAGUCGAACGGUCUUUCUAUGGAAGCUUGCUUCCACUGAGAAGAUAGUGGCGGACGGGUGAGUAACAACGUGGGGUAACCUGCCCAUAAGAGGGGGAUAACAUCCGGAAACGGGUGCUAAUACCGCAUAGUUUUCUUGAUCGCAUGAUUGAGAAAGGAAAGACGGCCUUUGUGCUGUCGCUUAUGGAUGGACCCGCGGCGUAUUAGUUAGUUGGUGAGGUAAUGGCUCACCAAGACGAUGAUACGUAGCCGACCUGAGAGGGUGAUCGGCCACAUUGGGACUGAGACACGGCCCAAACUCCUACGGGAGGCAGCAGUAGGGAAUCUUCCGCAAUGGACGAAAGUCUGACGGAGCAACGCCGCGUGAGUGAAGAAAAGGGUUUUCGGAUCGUAAAACUCUGUUGUCAGAGAAGAACAAGUUGGAGAGUAACUGCUCCAGCCUUGACGGUAUCUGACCAGAAAGCCACGGCUAACUACGUGCCAGCCGCCGC